GAGAGGAGGGAGGUUACCCCAUCCUGAAAAAGGCACAUCAUGCUGUUGUGUGUGAACAGAGCUGCUCUGACUUGCUGGUGGACACAGUCACUGUCACAAGCUCCUUAGUGGCUGUUUCUUUUUUAGAGCUUCCUGAGCAACGGGGAUGAUGAAAAAUGUUCUUUAUGGUCUUUGGGUUACGAGCACCUAAGGAGGCUCUGGUAUCUCAGUUGUUAGACCUCUUUUGCAUUCUCAGUAAUUGAGUCUGAAAUCUUAGGGCUGCUAACAUGCCCGUGCCAGCACUGAGCUGCCCCAGUGGGAUUGCUGUGCAGAUGGAAGCCUUCUCUCCUUGUACAGCAAACCAUGCUCAGGUCUGCUGGCUACUUGUCCUACUCCCUUCCUGCUACAGGGUGUUCUGCUGUACUGAGAGCAGGCUGCUCCUCAGGCAGGUGUCUGAGUGGUUGUAUUUGAGCUGGGAAAGAGCAGAAGCUGUCCUGGGACCUUUAACAUCUGGAAAUAACUGGAGAUAUGGGGAGGCUGCUUCAAAUUCCCAUCAACCUAUCAGAAGAAAACUGCUGAAUUGGUGCCCUUUCUUUUAUGGAAACCAUGAACGUGUUUUGUCCUUACAGAUGUUUAGGAAGUCAAUGCUCUUGUGAUCCCAUGUUGCUUUCCUUGCUGAGCUUUUAUCUCACCUUUGUCUUAUGUAAGGAGUAUAGCUGAAUUCUGAUUUCCCAUUAAUGGAACUCUUGUGCUCUUGCCCUCCUCCUCACUUUGAUCGUGAUAUCUUUGAAUAUUUGUUUCUAAAGUGUCUGAGUGGAAUCAGGAGUGGAUGGAAGAGAAGAUAUCCGAACCAGAAAGUUAAGCACAGGUCUUUCUCAACAGCUUAUCUGCCUGUUCACAACAUGCAUCUGUCAGUUCUCACACAGUUCUAGGUGGGAUUUCCAUGUAGGAGAUCUGCUGAAGGUCUGAGUGUUUCACCUGCUGCCUAUGCUGGCUCCAAGCUAUUGCAAGGAGAGGCUGGGGGGCAUGGGAGUACCGUCAGAUAGCACUGGUGAGUGAUACCUGGUGGUGGCUGUGCAGCCAGACACCCAGCAUCAGAGCUGCCAUGCUCAUCAGGCUGUGCGUGCCCAACCUGGGCUCUUCAUGUUUCCAAACAGCCCAGAGGUGUGCACAACCACCUUUGUUGUAAGGGUUUUUGAUAGCAGAUGAUGUGCUGAGAAGCAGGCUGGCCCUUUUCCCAGAGCUGGAAGUGGCUGAAGCUGGGGUGUGGUGGGCAGCAGGGCAGGAGGAAGGCGAUUCUGUUCUUUAGAGACUCAGAAAUAUAACCAAGCCUGGGGCUGAACAGGGUGUGCGCUUUCCUACCCAGAUCUCUAAUCAGAAACAAAUCCUGCAAUUGCAUCAGCUGGAAACUCUGAAGCUUCCUGCUGUCCACUGAAGGGUAAAAGAAGGCUCAGUUCCUGGCCCUGCUCUGCUGACACUCUCUUGGUUUUCCUCUCCUCCUUAGCCACCGGAGGGCAGGCAGGAUUCCUGUAAUUACCAACUACUGCGGAAGAAAAGCACCGGAAUAAUUAAAAAGCAAUUAAUGUUUGCACUGCUGGAUCUGCUGUGGCAUUGCUCUUUCCAGUUGCAUGCUCUGCCUCUGGUCCCCUCGCCACCUACUUCACUUUGUAGAUUUUCCUUUAUCAGUUGCUUUUCAUUUUCAUUCGAGCUAGCUGUGAGAGCUGCAGUUCAACUUCAGAUUAAGUUACUGCUGAGACGUGCUUUGCUUGGGGGGAUUAUGGAGUUGGCUGUGAUGUGUUGGCUGCCAGGUAAGGCAAGAGAAGGCAAAGCCUUUUAGCAGGCUGCGAUCAGACAGAAGCCUCUGUGUCCCAGGGCUGGAAAUACUGCUGCGGGGUCAAACACUCCUAGGCUCAGCACUACACUGGUGUAACCAUUACAGCUUCAUUAUGGAACUGGUCGAUCCUUGGUGAACUGGAGCUUCUGGAUCAGCACUGUAGAGCUGUCAACACUGGUGAAAAUUCAAGCAGCAAGUGGAGAAGAGCAAAGACUGUUGCCAGUGGUGCAUUUCAGUCUGAUGCAGGAAGCUCCCUGGCUGUGGCUGUUGGGCAUGUUGAGGAGAUGCAUCACUGAAGGAUUAAAAUACAACUGCUGUGAGCUGGGAAGCAAAGCAGGCCAGGACUAGAAGCUGCCAUGGAAGGAGAGGCACAUGAUGAAGUCUGAGGAGCUGCUUGCUGAUGGGACCCGCUGCCACCAUCCUGCACCCUGCUCUGGGCACACAGAGACCCCCAGCACUGCCCGAGUCCACCAGGAAACAGCCCGGAAACCUCAGUUUAUUUUCCCCCCCCCUUGUUGUUUUUCCCUCUCAGAAUUAUAUCUGACACCAGAGUCCAUCAGACAAAGUCCUUACAAACACAGGAGUCCUGAAGACAUCGGCUGAAUGUUUUCCUGGUAUAAAGAAGAAGAGGAGGAGAAAGAGGUGGUGACGGUGCGGGUGCAGAGAGUUUGGACUGGGACGGAGGGCGUGGUGGAAGGAGAGAGGU